AGGGUGAAGUUGGAGAGCAUGGUCAGAAGGGCGCCAAGGGAGGUAAAGGAGAACAUGGUCCUCCUGGUCCACCCGGGCCAAUGGGUCCUGUUGGUCAGCCUGGACCUGCUGGUGCUGAUGGAGAGCUUGGAGCCAGGGGCCAGCAGGGACCUUUUGGAUCCAAAGGUGACGAAGGUACCAGAGGAUUCCCAGGA